rnacentral:RNase_P_RNA from 1 species
CGAGUAAGCCAGACAGUCGCUGCCCGGUUAUGCCGGGGAGAGGAAAGUCCGAGCUUCAUAGGGCAGGGUGCUGGGUAACUCCCAGUGGAGGCGACUCUAAGGAAAGUGCAACAGAGAUAUACCGCCAGAGCUUGGCUCUGGUAAGGGUGGAAAGGCGAGGUAAGAGCUCACCAGCGCAUUGGCGACUUUGCGGCUAUGUAAACCCCACUUGAAGCAAGACCGAAUAGGGAGACUAAUGGGGCUGCCCGUCCCGUCUCCGGGUGCGUCGCUUGAGUCUGACUGGUAACAGCAGGCCUAGAUAGAUGACUGUCAAACACAGAACUCGGCUUACAGACUUAUCUCGCUAU